AUGGCUCUUGGGCGCCGGCGCCGCGGGGCCGGGGGGCUCCCCAUCGCCGUCGCCCCCACCGCGGCCGAGCAGGCCGCAGAGGAUGGCGAAGAGCACGAGGCAGAGGUUGACAACGUCCCAGCCGCUCUUGAGCGUAAUCCCUCCGCGCUGGAAUCCGCCGCCGCCUCGGCGCACCGCGGAGGGGAGGAAGAGCAGCAGGAGCAGGGAGAAGAGGAGCACGAGGAGCCAGACCUUGGCGCCGCCGGCGGUGCCAUUGUCGUCGGCGUCGGCGGUGGAGUAGGAGGAGGAGGUGCUAGGACCCGUGCCGUCAGCGCUGGAACCGGUCCUCUCCAUGGCGCCCGUGUUGAUUCCUCGCGUCGUCGCACGGUUGAGAUGCGAAAGCCAAAAGCGCAGAAAGGCCAAAGCGGCAGCAGGCAGCAGCAGCAAAAUGGUUCGUGUGUGGAGCUUUUUGGAUCUCUCUCUCUUUCGCUAAUCUGCUGGCCUCCUCUCUGUCUGCGUCUGCUUUCUUGUUGGCUGGUUAUAUACGUGAGGUGA
rnacentral:rRNA from 1 species